UACAGAGGGUGCGAGCGUUGUCCGGAAUUAUUGGGCGUAAAGAGCUCGUAGGCGGCCUGUUACGUCUGCUGUGAAAUCCCGGGGCUUAACCCCGGGCGUGCAGUGGAUACGGGCAGGCUGGAGGCAGGCAGGGGAGAACGGAAUUCCCGGUGUAGCGGUGAAAUGCGCAGAUAUCGGGAGGAACACCGGUGGCGAAGGCGGUUCUCUGGGCCUGUACUGACGCUGAGGAGCGAAAGCGUGGGGAGCGAACAGG
rnacentral:rRNA from 1 species